GCUUGUCUCAAAGAUUAAGCCAUGCAUGUCUCAGUAUAAGUUCCUGUACGGCGAAACUGCGAAUGGCUCAUUAAAACAGUUACAGUUUAAUUGAUGGUCGUUCCUUACAUGGAUAACUGUGGUAAUUCUAGAGCUAAUACAUGCAUAAAACCCUAACUUCUGGAAAGGGUGUAUUUAUUAGAUGGAAACCAAUGCGGGGUAACCCGGAAUAUGGUGAUUCAUAAUAACUUUCGGAUCGAUUUAUCGAUGCAUCAUUCAAGUUUCUGCCCUAUCAGCUUUGGAUGGUAGGGUAUUGGCCUACCAUGGCUUUAACGGGUAACGGAGAAUUAGGGUUCGAUUCCGGAGAGGGAGCCUGAGAAACGGCUACCACAUCCAAGGAAGGCAGCAGG
rnacentral:rRNA from 1 species